rnacentral:misc_RNA from 1 species
AAGUCGUAACAAGGAUCAUUAACACGUAUCCAACGUUAAACCCCCCGUGCACACAGCGACCUGCUCCUCAAUUUCGGUCUUUUGGCAAUCCCUGGUAAAUCGCCGAACAGUUUUGAUUCAGGGACAUCCAAAGGGCCAUUAAAGUAGUAGUCAAUGCAAGCAACCUGGUUUCUUUGAAGCAGAAAGUGUGAUGGCGAGCCGGAGAACGGACCGAGUGGUAGUUCAAAGGUGCCUUCUGUCGCGCACUGUGGAAAGGAAGACGCUUUACGAAUCACUGUCCAACACGGUACCCCAUAUUCACCACCACAGUCGCAGACGAGGUAGGGAUACAAUGAUCAUGAACAACUGUUAACAAUGGAUAUCUUGGUUCUCG